rnacentral:rRNA from 1 species
AUUGAACGCUGGCGGCAGGCCUAACACAUGCAAGUCGAACGGUAACAGGAAGCAGCUUGCUGCUUUGCUGACGAGUGGCGGACGGGUGAGUAAUGUCUGGGAAACUGCCCGAUGGAGGGGGAUAACUACUGGAAACGGUAGCUAAUACCGCAUAACGUCGCAAGACCAAAGAGGGGGACCUUAGGGCCUCUUGCCAUCGGAUGUGCCCAGAUGGGAUUAGCUAGUAGGUGGGGUAACGGCUCACCUAGGCGACGAUCCCUAGCUGGUCUGAGAGGAUGACCAGCCACACUGGAACUGAGACACGGUCCAGACUCCUACGGGAGGCAGCAGUGGGGAAUAUUGCACAAUGGGCGCAAGCCUGAUGCAGCCAUGCCGCGUGUAUGAAGAAGGCCUUCGGGUUGUAAAGUACUUUCAGCGGGGAGGAAGGGAGUAAAGUUAAUACCUUUGCUCAUUGACGUUACCCGCAGAAGAAGCACUGGCUAACUCCGUG